rnacentral:rRNA from 1 species
UAGGGAAUCUUCCGCAAUGGACGAAAGUCUGACGGAGCAACGCCGCGUGAGUGAAGAAGGAUUUCGGUUCGUAAAACUCUGUUGUUAGGGAAGAAAAAAUGUAUAGUAACUAUAUACAAAAGAGACGGUACCUAACCAGAAAGCCACGGCUAACUACGUGCCAGCAGCCGCGGUAAUACGUAGGUGGCAAGCGUUGUCCGGAAUUAUUGGGCGUAAAGCGCGCGCAGGUGGUUUAGAAAGUCUGAUGUGAAAGCCCACGGCUCAACCGUGGAGGGUCAUUGGAAACUAAUAAACUUGGGUGCAGGAGAGAAAAGUGGAAUUCCUAGUGUAGCGGUGAAAUGCGUAGAGAUUAGGAGGAACACCGGUGGCGAAAGCGGCUUUUUGGCCUGCAACUGAAACUGAGGCGCGAAAGCGUGGGGAGCAAACAGG